GGGGAUGCAAAGGUUUCGACGGGGUUCUCAGGUUAUAGGUAGCAGGUCAGGGUGACCGCUGUGAGAGGUCAACUCAUCGUUUAGAUGGAAACAAAAAUUACGCUUUAGCUGCUUAAUGUCAGCUCACCUUUGAACAUAUUCUUCUGUAAAUGUGUUCAGCCAAGGUGUCACUAAAAUACAGAUUACCCUAAAUGAUUUCUCUAAGUUAUAGGGGACAUUCCAGAGGAUAGCUUUAGUUAGCCCUGUCUGUGGGAUUAACUACUGCGAAAUUCAAUAGCAGACUAAACUUGUAGAAGCCUAUGGCGCUGGCAAUUUCGGACACGGGUUCGAUUCCCGUCAUCUCCACCA
rfam:Fusobacterium varium ATCC 27725 genomic scaffold supercont2.2, whole genome shotgun sequence.